rnacentral:rRNA from 1 species
UACGGGGGGAGCAAACGUUGUUCGGAAUCACUGGGCGUAAAGGGCGCGUAGGCGGCUGAAUAAGUGGGAUGUUAAAUCCCCGGGCUCAACCCGGGACCUGCAUCUCAUACUGUUCAGCUCGAGCACAUCAGAGGAGACUGGAAUUCCCGGUGUAGCGGUGAAAUGCGUAGAUAUAGUAAGGAAGACCGGUGGCGAAAGCUAGUCUCUGGACAGUUACUGACACUGAGGCACGAAGGCCAGGGGAGCAAACGGG